GACGUAGGGCGCGAGCGUUGUCCGGAUUUAUUGGGCGUAAAGAGCUCGUAGGCGGUUUGGUAAGUCGGGUGUGAAAUCUCCACGCUCAACGUGGAGGGGCCACUCGAUACUGCCAUGACUCGAGUCCGGUAGAGGAGUGUGGAAUUCCCGGUGUAGCGGUGAAAUGCGCAGAUAUCAGGAGGAACACCGGUGGCGAAGGCGGGUCUCUGGGCCGUAACUGACGCUGAGGAGCGAAAGCAUGGGGAGCGAACAGG
rnacentral:rRNA from 1 species